GGAUCGGGCUGCCCGCCGCAGCAAUGAUUUGAAACAAUGGUAACAAUGACACUAUAUGAUGUGACUUGAAAUAGUGGUAACAAUGGCACUAUGUGAUAUAAAUUGGUCAGGUAACAAUGACUGACCAGGACUUUAUUGAUGCCACGAGAUGGCUUGUUAUUGUGCUUGGGCUGUAGGAACCCCUCCGGAGUCUGUACACACCUCCAGAGGGUACUGUCAUAUGCAUUGCAUUGCACUCAUGCAUUUAUUCCUCAUCUACAUUAUUCGUAGUAAUAAUUAUGUGCUCUUAUUUCAUUGACUGGUUGCUUCAUACUGUUCUGAGCCUGAGGGGCUGAUAUUGUUCUGAGAUAAAGAGCCCGAGGGGCUGAUACGUUUCUGAGAUACUGAGCCCGAGGGGCUGAUACUGUUCUGAGAUACUGAGCCCGAGGGGCUGAUACUAUUCUGAGAUACUGAGCUCGAGGGGCAGAUUUCUACUUAUUAUUUUGAUACUGAGCUCGAUGGGCAGAUUUCUACUUAUUAUUUUGAUACUGAGCCCAAGGGGCAGAUUUCUACUCGUUGUUUUGAUAUUGAGCCCGAGAGGUAGAUUUCUACUCGUCAUUUUAAUGCCAAAUUACCUGUUUUUACUGGUUUUAAAGAAAUUUCACAUGAUGUUUGACUGAAUUGUUUUUUUAAAUGAUUUCACUGCUACUGUAUAGAGUGUUGUGUGCCUUAACGUGUUUUCUUACCCUCAGUUAUUAUAUAUAUUUAUUACUCACUGGGUCGGAGUACUCACAUUACUCCCUGCACCAUGUGUGCAGGUACAGGUAUUCCUGAGGCAUAGAGCGAGUUUUCUGCUGUUCAGUUUUCAUCGGAGUUAUCAAGGUAGCUGCAUGGCGUUCGCAGGCCCGUUUUCUCCCUUAUCUUCUGUAUUUAUGAUAUCUUCAGAUGUCGUUCCUAAUUCCGUACCUUGUAGAAUUUUAGUAAACUCUGUAGUAGCUCAUGCCUUGUGACACCCCGGUUAGGGCUGAGUUGGGUUGGAUUUCCGUAUUUUAUCUAUACUUUCCGC
rnacentral:lncRNA from 1 species